AGCGAACGCUGGCGGCAGGCUUAACACAUGCAAGUCGAGCGGGCACUUCGGUGUCAGCGGCAGACGGGUGAGUAACACGUGGGAACGUACCCUUCGGUUCGGAAUAACGCUGGGAAACUAGCGCUAAUACCGGAUACGCCCUUUUGGGGAAAGGUUUACUGCCGAAGGAUCGGCCCGCGUCUGAUUAGCUAGUUGGUGGGGUAAUGGCCUACCAAGGCGACGAUCAGUAGCUGGUCUGAGAGGAUGAUCAGCCACACUGGGUCUGAGACACGGCCCAGACUCCUACGGGAGGCAGCAGUGGGGAAUAUUGGACAAUGGGCGCAAGCCUGAUCCAGCCAUGCCGCGUGAGUGAUGAAGGCCUUAGGGUUGUAAAGCUCUUUUGUCCGGGACGAUAAUGACGGUACCGGAAGAAUAAGCCCCGGCUAACUUCGUG
rnacentral:rRNA from 1 species